UCGGAAUAGGAAAGUGCCGACAUAGCAGACACCCUGUGUAUUAGAACAGCAUUUCAUCAACUAAUUGUCAUUUCAAAUAUCUGCCUGUGAAAGCUUCCUGGUUGCCUGCCACCAUGCUAUUGUGUUGCUGCCACAAACGUCUUAGCC
rnacentral:lncRNA from 1 species